rnacentral:rRNA from 1 species
GACGAACGCUGGCGGCGUGCUUAACACAUGCAAGUCGAACGGAAAGGCCCUGCUUUUGUGGGGUGCUCGAGUGGCGAACGGGUGAGUAACACGUGAGUAACCUGCCCUUGACUUUGGGAUAACUUCAGGAGAAUGGGGCUAAUACCGGAUAGGAGCUCCUGCUGCAUGGUGGGGGUUGGAAAGUUUCGGCGGGUGGGGAUGGACGCGCGGCUUAUCAGCUUGUUGGUGGGGUAGUGGCUUACCAAGGCUUUGACGGGUAGCCGGCCUGAGAGGGUGACCGGCCACAUUGGGACUGAGAUACGGCCCAGACUCCUACGGGAGGCAGCAGUGGGGAAUAUUGCACAAUGGGCGGAAGCCUGAUGCAGCAACGCCGCGUGCGGGAUGACGGCCUUCGGGUUGUAAACCGCUUUCGCCUGUGACGAAGCGUGAGUGACGGUAAUGGGUAAAGAAGCACCGGCUAACUACGUG